UACGGGGGGGGUAAGCGUUGUUCGGAAUUACUGGGCGUAAAGGGCUCGUAGGCGGCCAACUAAGUCGGACGUGAAAUCCCUCAGCUUAACUGGGGAACUGCGUCCGAUACUGGAUGGCUUGGAUUGGGAGAUGGGAUGCGGAAUUCCAGGUGUAGCGGUGAAAUGCGUAGAUAUCUGGAGGAACACCGGUGGCGAAGGCGGCAUCCUGGACCAAUAUUGACGCUGAGGAGCGAAAGCCAGGGGAGCAAACGGG
rnacentral:rRNA from 1 species